UACAGAGGGUACGAGCGUUAAUCGGAAUGACUGGGCGUAAAAAGCAUGUAGGCGGAUACUCAAGUGGGAAGUGAAAUCUCUGGGCUUAACCUGGGGGCGGCCUCUCAGACUGAGUGUCUAGAGGGCAGUAGAGGGUAGUGGAAUUUCCGGUGUAGCGGUGAAAUGCGUAGAUAUCGGAAGGAACACCAGUGGCGAAGGCGGCUACCUGGACUGUUACUGACGCUGAGGAGCGAAAGCGUGGGGGGCGAACAGG
rnacentral:rRNA from 1 species